UUUAUGGAGAGUUUGAUCCUGGCUCAGGAUGAACGCUGGCGGCGUGCCUAAUACAUGCAAGUCGAGCGAACGGACGAGAAGCUUGCUUCUCUGAUGUUAGCGGCGGACGGGUGAGUAACACGUGGAUAACCUACCUAUAAGACUGGGAUAACUUCGGGAAACCGGAGCUAAUACCGGAUAAUAUUUUGAACCGCAUGGUUCAAAAGUGAAAGACGGUCUUGCUGUCACUUAUAGAUGGAUCCGCGCUGCAUUAGCUAGUUGGUAAGGUAACGGCUUACCAAGGCAACGAUGCAUAGCCGACCUGAGAGGGUGAUCGGCCACACUGGAACUGAGACACGGUCCAGACUCCUACGGGAGGCAGCAGUAGGGAAUCUUCCGCAAUGGGCGAAAGCCUGACGGAGCAACGCCGCGUGAGUGAUGAAGGUCUUCGGAUCGUAAAACUCUGUUAUUAGGGAAGAACAUAUGUGUAAGUAACUGUGCACAUCUUGACGGUACCUAAUCAGAAAGCCACGGCUAACUACGUGCCAGCAGCCGCGGUAAUACGUAGGUGGCAAGCGUUAUCCGGAAUUAUUGGGCGUAAAGCGCGCGUAGGCGGUUUUUUAAGUCUGAUGUGAAAGCCCACGGCUCAACCGUGGAGGGUCAUUGGAAACUGGAAAACUUGAGUGCAGAAGAGGAAAGUGGAAUUCCAUGUGUAGCGGUGAAAUGCGCAGAGAUAUGGAGGAACACCAGUGGCGAAGGCGACUUUCUGGUCUGUAACUGACGCUGAUGUGCGAAAGCGUGGGGAUCAAACAGGAUUAGAUACCCUGGUAGUCCACGCCGUAAACGAUGAGUGCUAAGUGUUAGGGGGUUUCCGCCCCUUAGUGCUGCAGCUAACGCAUUAAGCACUCCGCCUGGGGAGUACGACCGCAAGGUUGAAACUCAAAGGAAUUGACGGGGACCCGCACAAGCGGUGGAGCAUGUGGUUUAAUUCGAAGCAACGCGAAGAACCUUACCAAAUCUUGACAUCCUUUGACAACUCUAGAGAUAGAGCCUUCCCCUUCGGGGGACAAAGUGACAGGUGGUGCAUGGUUGUCGUCAGCUCGUGUCGUGAGAUGUUGGGUUAAGUCCCGCAACGAGCGCAACCCUUAAGCUUAGUU
rnacentral:rRNA from 1 species